rnacentral:rRNA from 1 species
GACGAACGCUGGCGGCGUGCUUAACACAUGCAAGUCGAACGAUGAAGCCUAGCUUGCUAGGUGGAUUAGUGGCGAACGGGUGAGUAAUACGUGAGUAACCUACCUUUAACUCUGGGAUAAGCCCGGGAAACUGGGUCUAAUACCGGAUACGACCAAUCUCCGCAUGGGGUGUUGGUGGAAAGCGUUAUGUAGUGGUUAUAGAUGGGCUCACGGCCUAUCAGCUUGUUGGUGAGGUAACGGCUCACCAAGGCGACGACGGGUAGCCGGCCUGAGAGGGUGACCGGCCACACUGGGACUGAGACACGGCCCAGACUCGUACGGGAGGCAGCAGUGGGGAAUAUUGCACAAUGGGCGCAAGCCUGAUGCAGCGACGCCGCGUGAGGGAUGACGGCCUUCGGGUUGUAAACCUCUGUUAGCAGGGAAGAAGAGAGAUUGACGGUACCUGCAGAGAAAGCGCCGGCUAACUACGUG